rnacentral:rRNA from 1 species
AACGGCCGCGGUAUAUUGACCGUGCAAAGGUAGCAUAAUCAUUAGUUUUUUAAUAGGGGACUGGUAUGAAAGGUUUAACGAAACAUAUACUAUCUUAUUUUUAGUUUUAUAAUUUAACUUUUGAGUUAAAAGGCUUAAAUUUUUUUGAGGGACGAGAAGACCCUAUAGAGCUUUACAUUAUUUAUUUUAUUGAUAUAUUUUAAUAAUAAAGUACUAUUAUAAAUAUUGUUUUGUUGGGGUGACAAUUAAUAUUUAAUUAACUUUAAUUAUUUAAUUUACAUUAAAUUUAUGAUUAUUUGAUCCAAUAUUAUUGAUUAUUAGAAUAAGUUACCUUAGGGAUAACAGCGUAAUCUUUUUUCAGAGACCAAAUUUACAAAAAGGCUUGCGACCUCGAUGUUGGAUUAAGAUUAUAUUUAGGUGCAGUAGCUUAAUGAAUAGGUCUGUUCGAC